AUCCGUUUCCCGUGAAGGCUGAGCUGUGAUGGCGAGCGAAUUAUAGUAGCGAAGUUCCUGAUUCCACACUGCCAAGAAAAGCCUCUAGCGAGGUGAGAGGUGCCCGUACCGCAAACCGACACAGGUAGGCGAGGAGAGAAUACUAAGGUGAUCGAGAGAACUCUCGUUAAGGAACUCGGCAAAAUGACCCCGUAACUUCGGGAGAAGGGGUGCUCUGUUAGGGUGCAAGCCCGAGAGAGCCGCAGUGAAUAGGCCCAGGCGACUGUUUAGCAAAAACACAGGUCUCUGCGAAGCCGUAAGGCGAAGUAUAGGGGCUGACGCCU
rnacentral:rRNA from 1 species